GCCUCUUUAGCUCAGUGGCAGAGCACUGGUCUUGUAAACCAGGGGCCGUGAGUUCAAUUCUCACAAGAGGCA
rnacentral:tRNA from 11 species